AGAAAAGAAAUGGUUUGAAAGAAAGAUAGGUUUGGAAAUGAAAGGGCUGGGAGAAAAAAAGAAGAAGGGCUAGGUUGAAAGGAGGGUUUACAACGUUCUUUGUUCCUUCGUUUGAAAGAAGAAAGAAGCGACAAUUGUAAGUGGGAUUCCUCUCUUCUUCAUUUCCAAAAGCAACAAACAAGAUCUCUCAUAUUUCGAUCCUCCGAAUCUCUCUCCUUUUCUCCACCAAUGAUGUUCUCUUACCGGAAAUGGGUGCUUAGAAGCUGCACGUGCUCGUUGAUGACAACCACGUCGACCACAAGGUUAUUGAGCAGUUGCUCAAAAUCUCAUCUUGCAAAGGUAAGAACUAAAGAUGAAGAAUUUUGGUUGAAAGAUAAGUAGUAUUUCGAAGAGGGUGUGUGAACUGAACCUUUGGCAAACAUUUGAACUGGAUUUUGAUGGAGGUGAGUUUCUAAAAUAUGGGUAAAGUUGAUUCUAAUGGAUUUUGUUUAUUUAUUUUUUAUUUUAGGAUAAAAGAUAAAGUGUGGGUAUAAGGAGUUUGGGCUUAACACUAUUUAUGAAAUUUAGGAUAAAAGAUGAAGUUUUUUUUUUUUUUUGGUUCAGUACAAGAGAGAUUCAGAUUCGUGUGUGGAGCCCUUAUGCCAAAUUAAUUGCUAUUCUUACAUCUUCCUUCUUCCAUCAUAUUUUCAAAGUCCAGUUUUCAGAUAAAAAAAUACACAUCGGUGGUAGACAACCCUCUGCUUUGUGCCUAACUAUCAUUUCUCUUUUGCUCAUAGAACAAGUUCCUUUUGUAGUAAAGGAUUUGUUUGUGUAAGUUUCCUACUUGUUUUUAUUUUAUAAUUUUCCUCAUGUAUAAG